UACGUAGGGGGCAAGCGUUGUCCGGAUUUAUUGGGCGUAAAGAGCGUGUAGGCGGCUUUACAGGUCCGUUGUGAAAACUCGAGGCUCAACCUCGAGACGCCGGUGGAAACCGUAAAGCUAGAGUCCGGAAGAGGAGAGUGGAAUUCCUGGUGUAGCGGUGAAAUGCGCAGACAUCAGGAGGAACGCCCGUGGCGAAAGCGGCUCUCUGGGACGGUACUGACGCUGAGACGCGAAAGCGUGGGGAGCAAACAGG
rnacentral:rRNA from 1 species